rnacentral:lncRNA from 1 species
CUAGGAGUGACCUGAUCCACCUAUUCAAGAUAUGAAUUUGCUUCUCAAAAUUUGCAAUAAAUAAAGCUUUACAUGCUACAGAAGAGAUGGAUACAAAGUGAUGUGGAGACACGGAUGGGGCAAUCCCACCCGAGAAGGGGAAGCAAAGACCUACAGAAGGAUGACACUUGAACUGGACCUUGUGGGCUAAGUGUUUGCCGACCCACAGCAUAAACAAAGGCAGUCCAGGAUCAUUUGGUUGAGGAGGAAAUGUUCUUCCAUAUCUCAGCACUCCUUAGGAGAUACUUAGAGUGCAGUGAAAU